rnacentral:SRP_RNA from 1 species
GCCAGGUGCUAUGGCGUGUCCACCUACUCAGGAGGCUGAGGCUGGAGGAUUGCUUGAGUCCGGGAGUUCUGGGCUGUAGUGCCCUAUGCCGAUUAGAUGUCUGCACAAAGUUUGCAAUCAAUAUUGUGACCUCCCAUGAGUGGGGGACCACCAGGUUGCCUAAGGAGGGGUUAACCGGUGAACUGGCCCAGGUCAGAAACGGAGCAGGUCAAAACUCCCAUGCUGAUCAGUAGUGGAAUUGUGCCUGUGAAUAGCCACUGCACUCCAGCCUGGGCAACAUAGUGAGAUCCCGUCUCUU